UACGUAGGGGGCUAGCGUUAUCCAGAUUUACUGGGCGUAAAGCGCGUGUAGGCGGCUGGUUAAGUGUGAUGUGGAAUCCUCGGGCUCAACCCGAGAACUGCAUUGCAAACUGGCCUGGCUAGAGUGCAGGAGAGGGAAGCGGAAUUCCACGUGUAGCAGUGAAAUGCGUAGAGAUGUGGAGGAAUACCGAUGGCGAAGGCAGCCUCCUGGGAUAACACUGACGCUCAUGCACGAAAGCGUGGGGAGCAAACAGG
rnacentral:rRNA from 1 species